rnacentral:rRNA from 1 species
CCUACGGGGGGCAGCAGUGGGGAAUAUUGGACAAUGGGGGGAACCCUGAUCCAGCCAUGCCGCGUGUGUGAAGAAGGCCCUCGGGUUGUAAAGCACUUUCAGUGAGGAAGAACGCCUGGUGGUUAAUACCCAUCAGGAAAGACAUCACUCACAGAAGAAGCACCGGCUAACUCCGUGCCAGCAGCCGCGGUAAUACGGAGGGUGCGAGCGUUAAUCGGAAUUACUGGGCGUAAAGCGCGCGUAGGUGGCUUGAUAAGCCGGUUGUGAAAGCCCCGGGCUCAACCUGGGAACGGCAUCCGGAACUGUCAAGCUAGAGUGCAGGAGAGGAAGGUAGAAUUCCCGGUGUAGCGGUGAAAUGCGUAGAGAUCGGGAGGAAUACCAGUGGCGAAGGCGGCCUUCUGGACUGACACUGACACUGAGGUGCGAAAGUGUGGGUAGCAAACAGGAUUAGAUACCCGGGUAGUC